AUACGUAGGUGGCAAGCGUUGUCCGGAAUUAUUGGGCGUAAAGCGCGCGCAGGCGGACGUGCAAGUCGGGGGUGAAAUCCCAGGGCUCAACCCUGGGACUGCUUUCGAUACUGCAUGUCUAGGGACCGGUAGAGGCUGGUGGAAUUCCCGGUGUAGCGGUGGAAUGCGUAGAUAUCGGGAAGAACACCUGUGGCGAAGGCGGCCAGCUGGGCCGGAUCCGACGCUGAGGCGCGAAAGCGUGGGGAGCAAACAGGAUUAGAUACCCUGGUAGUCCACGCCGUAAACGAUGGGUGCUAGAUGCCGGGGGGAGCGACCCCUUCGGUGUCACAGCUAACGCGUUAAGCACCCCGCCUGGGGAGUACGGCCGCAAGGCUGAA
rnacentral:rRNA from 1 species